CUCUUUUGUUUACUCUUCAUUAUAAUGGGACUCUAUACUUACUCCAUUAUUUAUUGUCAUAAAUGUCUUUUCCUCUUUCUUGUCAGGAAAGAAAGAGUUUCUUGAAGAAAGUCCCAUACGUGAUCUGUGAGUUCGUAAACGGCAUUAAACCUAGUUGCUCAAGUGCUUCUUUAUCCACGACCAUAAAUCAAAUGGAUUGGUCAAUGUCCCCC
rnacentral:lncRNA from 1 species